GGUUAAAAAGCUCGUAGUUGGAUUUCUGUCGAGAACGCGCGGUCCACGCUUUGCGUGAGUAUCUGUGUCGGUCUUGGCAUCCUCUAAAGGAUCGUUUCUGCGCUUGAUUGCGUGGAGCGGAACUUUAGACUUUUACUUUGAGGAAAUUAGAGUGUUCACGGCAGGCAAACGCCUUGAAUACAUUAGCAUGGAAUAAUAACAUAGGGCCUUGGUUCUAUUUUGUUGGUUUCUAGAGCUGAGGCAAUGAUUAAUAGGGAUAAUUGGGGGCAUUCGUACUAACGCGUCAGAGGUGGAAUUCUUGGAUUGCGUUAUGACGAACUACUGCGAAAGCAUUUGCCAAGGAUGUUUUCAUUGAUCAAGAACGAAAGUUAGGGGAUCGAAGACGCUUAGAUACCGUCGUAGUCUUAACCAUAAACUAUGCCGACUAGAGAUUGGAGGUCGUUUUUUUUAUGACUCCUUCAGCACCUUAUGAGAAAUCAAAGUCUUUGGGUUCCGGGGGGAGUAUGGUCGCAAGGCUGAAACU
rnacentral:rRNA from 1 species